GGGCUUGACAUCCCACGAACCUGCCCGAAAAGGUGGGGUGCCCGCAAGGGAGCGUGGAGACAGGUGGUGCAUGGCUGUCGUCAGCUCGUGUCGUGAGAUGUUGGGUUAAGUCCCGCAACGAGCGCAACCCUCACCCCUAGUUGCCACCGGGUUAAGCCGAGCACUCAAGGGGAACUGCCAGCGUCAAGCUGGAGGAAGGCGGGGAUGACGUCAAGUCAUCAUGCCCCUUACGCCCUGGGCUACACACGUGCUACAAUGGUCAGUACAAAGGGACGCGAGACUGCGAAGUGGAGCUAAUCCCAAAAAGCUGGUCUAAGUUCAGAUUGCAGUCUGCAACUCGACUGCAUGAAGGAGGAAUCGCUAGUAAUCGCGCAUCAGCCCGGCGCGGUGAAUACGUUCCCGGGCCUUGUACACACCGCCCGUCACACCACGAAAGCUGUCUGUACUCGAAGUCGCUGAG
rnacentral:rRNA from 1 species